GCCUAAUACAUGCAAGUCGAGCGGACAGAAGGGAGCUUGCUCCCGGAUGUUAGCGGCGGACGGGUGAGUAACACGUGGGUAACCUGCCUGUAAGACUGGGAUAACUCCGGGAAACCGGAGCUAAUACCGGAUAGUUCUUUGAACCGCAUGGUUCAAGGAUGAAAGACGGUUUCGGCUGUCACUUACAGAUGGACCCGCGGCGCAUUAGCUAGUUGGUGGGGUAAUGGCUCACCAAGGCGACGAUGCGUAGCCGACCUGAGAGGGUGAUCGGCCACACUGGGACUGAGACACGGCCCAGACUCCUACGGGAGGCAGCAGUGUUACAUCUUCCGCAAUGGACGAAAGUCUGACGGAGCAACGCCGCGUGAGUGAUGAAGGUUUUCGGAUCGUAAAGCUCUGUUGUUAGGGAAGAACAAGUGCGAGAGUAACUGCUCGCACCAUGACGGUACCUAACCAGAAAGCCACGGCUAACUACGUGCCAGCAGCCGCGGUAAUACGUAGGUGGCAAGCGUUGUCCGGAAUUAUUGGGCGUAAAGGGCUCGCAGGCGGUUUCUUAAGUCUGAUGUGAAAGCCCCCGGCUCAACCGGGGAGGGUCAUUGGAAACUGGGAAACUUGAGUGCAGAAGAGGAGAGUGGGGUUCCACGUGUAGCGGUGAAAUGCGUAGAGAUGUGGAGGAACACCAGU
rnacentral:rRNA from 2 species